rnacentral:rRNA from 1 species
GACGAACGCUGACAGAAUGCUUAACACAUGCAAGUCAACUGUGGCGGACGGGUGAGUAACGCGUAAAGAACUUGCCUCACGGAUAGGGACAACAUUUGGAAACGAAUGCUAAUACCUGAUACUGUGAGAGAGCUUUGCGUCCCAUUAGCUCGUUGGAGAGGUAACGGCUCACCAAGGCGAGGAUGGGUAGCCGGCCUGGGAGGGUGAUCGGCCACAAGGGGACUGGGAGACGGACCUUACGCCUACGGGAGGCAGCAGUGGGGAAUAUUUGACAAUGGACCAAAGUCUGAUCCAGCAAUUCGGUGUGCACGAUGAAGUUUUCGGAAUGUAAAGUGCUUUCAGUUGGGAAGCGGUACCAACAGAAGAAGUGACGGCUAAAUACGUGCCAGCAGCCGCGGUAAUUC